AAGACCUGGGAGGUUUCUUGCCCUCAGUAGCAGAGGACAUGCUCUUGCUCCAUGCAGUGUGAGCAUUCACAUAAACAGAAGAACGUGAGAGCAAAUAAGAACUGACACAGCAAGAACUGCCCAGUGCCACCUAGCCUUCCCCAAAUAAAUGCCAAGAAACAACAUUACAUACACAUUAGAAAUAUAUAUAUCUAUAUAUGCACAUGUACUCACUAAGUGCAUGUAAUGCUCUCUCUCAUAAGAAAAUGCUGGCAGCCUUUCAGCAAGCCGUCCUCAGCUGCUAAUAAGAAGCACAUCCUGCUUUCUGGAGGUGUGUGGCACUGUGAAUACAUUCAAGCCAUUCCUGUGGAGGGAUUGCUCUUAAAAUCCUUCAGAUGCCUUUGUGCCUGGAUAAAACAUUAACACAAACUUCACACACUGAGUGUGGGGCAGAGUGGCAAAUCCCACCUCAGUAACAGCUGUGGUGGUGUCACCUCUAGAAAUCAGGAACUUAAAAGCCAAAGUUUGGCUUGAGUAAUCUUGAGUUUUAAAAAUAGGUCGUGCAUUCAAGGUGCUGUGAAAGCAAGUGUUUUAAUCUGAAAUACCUUGGUCUAGGGCUGUCACACUGUGAGAUGGGACCGCAUUCCUGUGCAGCCUCCCAGAGCUGCUCCCAGAGCUGCAGCCAUGCUUCAGAAAGAAAAAUAGUACUACAUUUCAGCAGUGUACCUGUGAGAACAGCUGACCCUCUGGACCAUUAAGAUAACCCCGCAUUUCUAAACAAAAGGGGUUUUUAGUUUUUCUGUUCCUAUGAAAACACACUGGAACAUUUCACCACAGCCUUCUUUCACUUUAAUUAGCCAGGAAAGACAAGGAAUGCCAAAGGGCAAUUAUAGAAAAUAUAUACUGUACUGAUUAGGAAUCUCCUUUCUGUAGCAUGGAGACAUCAGCUUGAAGUUCACAUUAAACCCCUCUCCCCCUCUAACGAGAUAUGCCUUAUCCAACCCAGAAAGAUACAAUUAACUUGGGAAAGAAUGCAGCCUUUCUCAGGGGGAAAAAUGAUUGGGGAGGGGAGGAAGAACUCAUGUUAGAAGGUGAAGGGCUGAUCUUGAAGGCUCUGGUCACAUCAUGGCCUAUGGGGAUCAGUGCGUGUGGAAUCCAACCUGAGGGCUGCUCUCUCCCUGGCAAUGGCGACGUUGUCGUUUUGCUUUUUUUCUCGUAACAUUUGCUAUUGUUUUAGGGGCACUGUGCCUCCCAGGACCCUCCUCAGCCUGGAGCAAGGUCAGGGGGACAGGCCCGCUCCCCAAAUGGGAUACAGCAGGGCAGAUGUGGGCUGCAGGAGGCACAGGCCAGAGGCAACGCGGAGCAGCCAUUGCCAUUGUUCUGCAGGGCCUUGUUCACAAUCUCUGCACGGUUGGGCUGUGGGAGCAGCUGGGAGCAAUUACGGCACAUGAAAAGAAGGGCACGGGAUUAGGCAAGUGAUGAAAAAGCGAGGGGACCGCUAGAUUUAUCACUGGCAGAGCAAGGCAGCCCCUCUCCAGAGCCGGCCCUAUCCCAUGUCCCUAUCUUUGUUCCUGUCCCCUGGGCAGGAGUGACAGUGCCAGGAGCUGCAGGAGAGGAUCCAGUUGUGAGGACUGGCCCUGAGGUGGUGAGGAUCAGUCUCCCUUUGGGUCCCACCAAGAGGACAGGGUGAAGUCCAUGGGCAGAUUUCAAUCUCAUCCUCUCUUUAUAUGGGCAAAAAAUAAAGUAAAAAAUAAGCAGAUGAGGCACAAGUUUUGCAUUCCUUGUGAAAUUUCUUCAGCUCUUCCAUAUAAUCAGCAUUGUAAAAUAGCAAAAACAAAACAAAACAGAACAAAAAAAACAAAAAUCCCUCGUAGCUUUCUUUUUUGCGAGGACUGAGGAGUACAAGAAAGGUUACUCAGAAGGUAAAGCAUGUGUUUGCCAUCUUAGCUCCUGAUAUGGAAACCAUAUGCUUAAAUACACCACCAAACAUACUCAAUAUAACACUCUUUUUUAUUAAAGGUGGUUUUAUAAAAGCUAUCCACCUUCCAUCCACCACUGACUCCCAAAGAGGUCACAUAUUCCUCAUUGCAACUAUCAAUAUGUAUUUGGGGUAAAUUAAACUCCAAAUAGACUGUUUCUGAUUAUUACUGCAAAGGGAGCAAGAGGCCAUCUUAUUUUCCCUCACUGAUAAAUUAAAAGAACUGUAAUGGGUGAUUUCUGCAACCUGUAAAAGGGCAAAACCAUCUGUAACUCAUUUAGUGUCGCUUUAAAGAAAAUUUAUUUGAUUAAUUUGGGUAGAGUAUAGAAAGAAUAUAGAUUUAAGAAAUAGUAAUAAUAAAGCCCUCUACUGCUCAAGAGGAAGAAGGGAAGAAGCAGCAGCAGAAGAAAACUCCGACCCAAAAUAAACAUUUGAGGGAAUUAAAACAUGCUUCAUAUGCUAUUAGAAAUAUUCCUUAUACAGGCUGCUGCCUUGAUCUUGAGAGAGCUGAUUUUUGCCCUGCCAACAAGAAGACCUUGCCACGACAUGGCUCUAAGAGCACCCAUGUCACAGAACUUCUUGUCAAAUAAACUGUUGUUAAAUGCAGCACCUGAUAGAUAAAGAGAUAAAAACGAGUAGGGAGAAAGAAGAGGGAGAAAGGCUGGCAACUGUCCAUCCUUCAAAGCAGAGUUGAUGGUAGUGACCCAAACUUCACCACCUUUGUCUGGCCUGACAAGCAGGAAGUGGAGAAAAGAUCAAAAGAAAGUGGAAAUCAAAAGGAUUAAUACAUUGAAAUUCUUCUGUUUUGCCACAGGCUGUCACUCUAGCUCCACACAUGGCUCAGCCAGCCAGGCGUGCUCCAUGGAAAGCAAGGGGAGAGAAAUAGCUAUAGAAGCUCAGAAGUUUUCUCCUCCUGAAAUUUCAUUGGCCUGCAGGUUACCCGCAAUCCCUACUCCCCUGCUGACAAUUUGGAGAGCAAUAUUAAAUAGUAACGAUAAUAAAUACUAAUAGGUUAAUCUCCGUAAGUCAUGCCAAAUUCUAUGGGGCCAGGGUUUGGCAAAAGCGGUCUGCCUCAGAUGUGGAGUAUCUAAUGACAUCUUUACUGUUGCAGGGUGUGCAUGUGGCAGGCGGAGAUGUCAUUUGCACUCUGACACAGGCUAAGUCACUUACAGCUAUGGAUCUCAUCAGAGGCUUGCACUGGGCCCUGGCCAAACCUUGCUUAAAUCAAAGGGCGGGUUUGCCUUAUUGUCUCUGGGCUGCUUUUCACUCACCCUGGGAGGAGGCAGGAGGCAGGCAGAGCUCCAGCCCUCUCAGCCAAUAAGUCUGGGUCUGAUCUGCUGAAACCGUGAAGGAUCUUUUCUUUGGCUUCAGUGAGCCGUAUACCUGGGCAAACCUAGUGCUCCGUGUGGUUAUUUGUUCUUGAUGACCUCAUAUCGUCCCUUUUUCCUCUCUUCUGGGUUAUCUUAAAGUCCCCAUUUUGUUUUUCAGAGGUUGGAGUUAAAGACAUCUGCUCAGAAAUCCAUAGGGAGACAUGUUACGGUGUUCAGCCCCUCUGCAAUCAAUGGACGUGAUAUGCCUACACUGCUCCGAGGCUUUAGGACCGGUGGAGAUGGGUACCUGCAAGGAUCUGGAUCUCCCUUAGAAGCAGUGACUCAUCCAACUGCAUUCACUCCCCAAUAGCACCAGCACAGGCGCGAUCCCACGGGAAGCUCUCCAUCACCCCAGGACUGACACACUACUUACCACAUGCCUCAUCUCCCUCUGCUGAGCUCCUCAUGAGUCAGUUGGACUGCAUCCCUACAGUCACAUGGCUCGCUCCACUUUGAAGAUCUUGGAUAAAAUCACCCUUUCCAGGACAAGGAAACUUCUGGUUUCGUAGCUUGCAGCAGAAAGCACAGAUGGACCUUCACACUGUAAAUGGGAAGAGAGGAAAAAGUACGAAUCUUUUCAGGGCAUUUUGGAAACAAAGCAGUAAGACUUUCUGGAAAGCAAUAAUGCAGCAUUUGCAAUACUGGGGAAAUGACAGAAAACUGGGGAAUACUCAUCCGGAUAUUUUAUUGCUAAAAAUUUGUUACAAUAUUUCUCAUGAAAUAUGUUGAUUUUCUUAAUUAAGUAGUAGCUGAAGUGUAGGUGCAGCCACCCUCACCCUGCUAAGGUCAGAUCUUCUCCAUACGUUUCAGACUUUGCCGUGAUUUAUGCAAAGAAAGAUCCAGUGAUCCCAUGGUGCCCUUCAGCUCCUUUUGCCACAGAGGAAUGUCAGCUUCAGGCCUGAAAAUGCUCGAAGCAUUCAGAUAUGUUUUUGAUAUGCAGACUGUUCAGCUUCAUUUUUUUUUUCUCACGUUGUCUCCUUAUUCUGAGUUGGGCACUUCUUGCCAAGCAACAAAAGGAAUUCCGUUUGACAUUAGGGUAAAUGACCUUCAUCUGGGUACUACAUAAUGUUGACUGUGUGUGGUAUCAUGAAGGCUCCUGGCUGAGCAGCAAAGACCUGUGAGAUAAUGCUGGUGCGAGUUUGUGCUAUGGCAUCACACAGGGAAACCUCCUGGCUUGUUUUUACAAGUACCUCUCCAGCAGAAGAUUAUUGAUCUCUGAAUCAACACAGUGACACGGGAUCGUGAUCCAGCCAACAUGGAGAUUCCACUGAGCAUCAGAUAGACUUGUAAGUCCUGACCCACCUAUGGAAAUACAUGGAAAUCUCUCCCCUGAUGUCAUCAGGAGCAUCACUGGGCAAGAGGAAGGAAGGCAGGUACACUGCCAUCAGUCUGGUGGUCCAUAACCCUUCAGAAGCACUGAACAAGAUCAGCUGCAAAGGAUAACCAUGCUCAACUGCAGGGCUGCAGUGGCCCAGUGAACAUGGGGAGCCCCAGCACCUCAGGGGUAUAGGCUACACUGAAUGCUGUUCCGCUGAUGGAAGAGAUUCUGUGCUCAGUGCUAUCAGAAACAGAAAAUACUUUCACAAACUGAGAGGGCAAAAUAGCUGUUCCCAACCCAUCUUCAGUCACGCAAUCACAGAAUCAUUUGGUUUGAGAUGGAUCUCUGAAGAUCUCUUCUCUGAGCUCCUGCUCAAAGCAGAGUGAGUGCUGAAUUCAGACUGGGUUGCUCAUGGCUUUGCAUAUUAGCCCUCAGAGCCUUCAAGGAUGGGGAUUUCACAGCCUUUCUGUGUUACAGAACUGUUGUCUGCUGUUGCUAUCUGCUGCUCCAGCUUUUCCCAAAACUCUGCUGCUGCUCUCACACAGCUUCUUGCUCACCCUACAGAGCCAGAGCUCUGCAGAAGCCAAAGAGUUCCCAAAUAGGAACUGCUGGCCCUUCCCCUUCCCACACUAGAGAGACCUUUCCUGGCGCUCCGUCAUACGGUUAACACAUGCUGUCUCUGCCCUGCCAGCAAGCUGUGAUCCAGAGUGCUGCUCCUGGCUCCGUCCCAUUGCAGGGAAGGGGCUGGAGCAUGGCCAGACCCCCGGCCCACCUGCUGGGCUUCCUGCCCCCACCACAGCUUGGGACAGGGCAGGGGGUAUAGGCCUGGGCCUGGCCCCAGCACAGAGCAGGGUGCAACACAGGUGUCUACCCAGAGUAGUGUUCCUUCCUAUGGUGCACAUUUCACUGCAGCCUCUGUGCCCAGCAACGGGAUGGAGCUGGCACUGGAUGAGUCAGAGAUGGAGGAAGGAAAGUCUGGCAGGGAGGAAUGCUUGUGGCCUUCUCACCAAACAUCUCAUACUGCUCCUUCCCCUAACCUAAGGAAACGAGGCUCCAGCCAGUGGUUUUGGAUGCUUUUCCCCAAAACCGGUUUCUUUCACAAUGGGUUGUUUCGUCCUCAGCCUGGGCCCCAUGGGGAUCUGAGCCCUGUGGGCUACGUGCCGCAGCCUGGAUGGACCUCCAUAGAUAGAGGGGGCUGAGAGGGCAUCGUGCUCCGGGCCCCUUCCCCUAUGGAGGGAAAGGAGACCUCCAGCUUGGGUUGUCUUGUGAAAUAAAGCUCCCGCCGAUUGCUGUCUAGGCCAACAUGGCAGCUGGGAGGAGGAAAAGGAG
ensembl:lncRNA